AUGUCACAGGAACCCCAGAGAGGUGUGAGGGAGCCGCCACUGCCGCUGCCCUCACAGCCUCCUGCAGGACAGAGGGUCACUCAUGGCCAGUCCCCGUACAUUCCAGGGCAAGAGAGAAGUUUAGGAUACAGCCAGCCCAGCGUUCACCCCAUGCACAUCCAUCCCACUGCCUCACCUGGGGACAAUUCAGGGCCUCAUUCAUUUCCUCCACUAGACCAUAGCCUUCCACCACCUCAUCUCCAUGGUAAUCCUCCUCCCAUGUUUGCCAGACCUCCUCCCAUGCCACCCAGGUUCUCCCAGCCUCCCCCAGCCAUGUCUCGCGCACCAAACAUUCCUUACCAAGUUGCAUUCCGGAAUCCUGUGAUGAUGCCCAGGGAAUGCAGUCCUUUGUGGCUCCAGCGCGGCCCCCCACCUGUCCCACCGUGCCCCCCGCUGCAGGGUGACAGAGCACCUGUCUCUGGCGUCCACUCGGGGAUCUCCAAGGGGACAGUUCUCAGGGACGCUGUGGGACAGGAGGAGGAGGACUUGAAGUGGCUGGAAGAGUUUGAGAAGAGAGUCAAAUCUUACCCACCUUCACCGCCACCAUCUGCUGAGUCCACCGCCGGCAAGAAGGUUGUUAAGCUGGCAGAGGUUCAGCGGCUGGUGGCAGAGUCCCAUUCACUAAGGGAGCAACUGUGUGUUCUGGAGAAGGAGCUGACUCGGGUGAUAGACUCAGCAGAGGAGGAGGAGUGGAUUCAUCUUGUGCAGCAGGCUGAAGGGGUCAAGGCAAGCCUUAAUCAGAUUUUGGAUGUGUUUCAAGACCAGGAAUUUGUUGGACGCACAAAAAUUUUACUGAAGCAGAGAAGAGCCAAGAGGAACCGAGUCAAGAGGAGGAAGAAAGAAAGGCAGCUGGAGCAGGAAGAGCUGAAAAGAAAGAGGGAAGAAGAGGAUGCCAAGAUAGAUGCCUGGAGAGCUAAACUGCAGCAAGAGGAAGACACCAAGAGGCGGGAGGAGGCGGUAAAGUGUGAGGCCGACAGUGUGCUGGGGGAGGUGCGGCAGAAGCAGAGUGAGGGCCAGAGGAUGCUGCAGCUACUGGAGGCACUGGCUGACCUACGCUGUACUCGGGCCACUCAGGCAGCCUCCCAGGGACGCCCCACAGAUGCUGAGGCUGACCACCGCUUCACCACCACCACAGAUGACGAAAAGGUUUUUGACCUUUUAGGGACUAGGACUGGCACCUCACUGGGCUUUGUUUUUCAGAGAUGCUCAGCAAGAUUGUGAAGGAGCAGUUGAAGGAAUAUGAGCUGGAGGAGCAAACUCUGCGGGUCAUGAUGGAGGAGAGCGCUUCGCACCGCUCUGCUGCUCUCUCAGCAAAGAGAGACGCCAACUUUGCAAGAUACAUGGAUGCCAUAAGGAAACUGCUCUUUGGCCCCACAGCCACAGCUGAAGAGGAUGCUGGCCUCUCAUUGGAAACUCUUGUUUGGAGAAGGCAAGACUGGGACCAGUACAUCGUAGAGCAGCAGCACCCCCUCGCCUCUGCCAUACCCGUGUCCUGGAUAUUGCCGCCAGAACAGCCUCACUCCUCCUGGGCAGCCUUCAAGAGAUGAUAUCUCCACAAUGCCUCUCUUGCUUCUCCUACACUCCUUGCUUUGUUCCUGUCAAAGAUCUGGAGAUGCAAAAGUGAUACUUUUGACACCCUGUUACCUAAAAAGGCCCUUAGACAAUUUAUUUCUAGCACAUUAUAUCUACUAGCUGUUUAUACUUGAAACCCUGUUAUGAAACUUAUGUACGGCCCUUAAACACUUAGGAUCCUGUUUCAUUACUUACAAGACUCCUACAUAAGAAGGAACACAUUACAAGCUAUUCAUACAUUCUGGUAGGAUCCUGUUUCAUUACUUACAGGACUCCUACACAAGAAGGAACACAUUACAAGCUAUUCAUACAUUCUGGUAGUUCCCCCCUGUGAUAUGUAGGUGGAUAAAUAAACCUUAGACUGCCUUUAGAACAUCAAAUAUAGGAAAAUUAAUACAUGAGCCACUAAUAUAAUAAACUGCAAACCAUGA